ensembl:lncRNA
CCCCAUAGCGAUGUGGGGCCGGGGGCUGUAGGACGGAACACCACAGACACCAAAGCUGCAUCUCCAGACUUUAUUACGGUGCCGCAGAGCAGCGCUAUGGGGCGGCGUUAUGGGGCAGCGCCGUGGGGAGGCGCUAUGGGGCAGCGCCGUGGGGUAGAGCUAUGGGGCAGGGUUAUGGGGCAGCGCCGUGGGGCGGCGCUAUGAGGCAGAGCCGUGGGGCAGGGCUAUGGGGCAGCUAUGGGGCAGAGCUAUGGGGCAGCUAUCGGGAGGCUAUGGGACGGCUCUGGGGCAGCUAUGGGCCGGCUAUGGGGCAGCUAUGGGUCAGAGCUACGGGUCGGAGCUAUGGGUCGGAGCUAUGGGGCGGCUAUGGGUCGGAGCUAUGGGGCGGCUAUGGGUCGGAGCUAUGGGGCAGGGCUACGGGUCGGAGCUAUGGGUCGGAGCUACGGGGCGGCUAUGGGGCGGCUAUGGGGCAGGGCUACGGGUCGGAGCUAUGGGACAGCUACGGGUCGGAGCUAUGGGUCGGGGCUAUGGGGCGGCGCCGUGGGGCGGCGUUAGGCGGGGGCGACGUGGCUGGAGGAGACGGAGGAGACCUGCGUGGCCUGCGAGGAGCCCGACACGUCCUCGUCGUCCCCGAACGGACUGCGGCCGCAGAACAGCAGCUUCAGCAUGCACGAGCGGAACUGCAACGGCACCGCGUCAGCGCCGCCGGCAGCGGCGGGGGGCAGUGGGGCACUGAGCAUCUAUGGGGCGCGGGGGCAGUGGGGGG